rfam:Rattus norvegicus chromosome 12, whole genome shotgun sequence.
GGGGAUUUAGCUCAGCGGUAGAGCGCUUGCUUGGGAAGUGCAAGGCCCUGGGUUCGGUCCCCAGCUCCA